rnacentral:misc_RNA from 1 species
UUUGAUCUGAAGAUUUCUGACUGUGUGGAUUUUAACCAUGCAUCCAAACAUCUCUCUGCCUUUCCAGUUUGUUGGAUUCAGUUUUUUGCAAAGCAAAGACCAUAUAAUAUUUAAUGUCCAAAUGAAAUGGAUCAAAACUGAUGAAGAACAAUUCCUGGCUCUUCCUUCUUCAGUAACCACCAAAUAGACAACAGAACGCAAACGCUGAGUCGGACAUUUUGAACCAAUUGCAUGUUUUGCAAGCACGUAUCGAGAACCUUGAAGCUAUCAACAAUCGAGGGUUGUCGGUGGCGACCGAAUUGCAUGAUGAUUCAGUGGAUUUGCCAGCAAAGGAAGGCAAUGAUUUUCCCUUAUCUGAAUUUUUGAAAGAGAGAAGAGUAAAACGAAGGGUUUUUAAGAAAGGUUCUAAAGGAAAAAGAAGACACAAACCAAAGAUCGAUGCGGUGCAUAUUGAAGGUACAGGGGGCGAAAGUUAUCCCGCAUUUCCCAGGGAAACUCUUUCAGGAACAUUUCACAAAUGGCAGUACGCAGAUUGGUUUUUUAAAAGCAAUGCGGAUGAUAAACAUUUUAAACUGCACUUCGGGAACGGUACACUAGAGGUGAUGCAACCAGGGUUGUACCUUUUGUAUUCUCAGGUUAGUAUCACUGCCCAGACACAGAAACUGAAAUUUCAGCAAAAUAAAUAAACAAAAUAUAUGAAAGAACUCUUCAAUCCAAACUAUGUUUCAACAAGAAAAUUUACAAAAUAAACACUUAGUUUUGUGGGGGUUUUUACCCUUCGUUGUUUUGCUUUUGUAUUGUUUUUAUCAAUAUCGAAGAACUUUUUUCUUCACUUUUAAUUUUAGUAAAGUAUGUUUCUAAAACAAUGAAAAGCAUAAACGUGCUUUGACAAAUGCACUUUAACCUUUACAUUUUAGAUAACUUUAAAAGGAAAUGGGACACAAGGAUAUCACGUUAUGAGGAAUGACAAGGAUCCAAUCUUAGCAUGCUAUUCGAACAACAUGAUGCUGCAUGAGGAGGACAAGACUUCUUGUUUUACGAUGGGCAUGUUUAAACUCGACAAAAGGGACAUCAUUUCUGUCAAACACAUUUCUACAUCGGGGGUUCGAGCCGUUUUUACUUCCAAUGCUUCCUUUUUUGGUCUUGUGAGGCUAGGAAGGUUCAAUAAGAGAGGUGUUGUCCUGGCUGUUUAACGUGAAAAAUAAGAAACAUUUAUAUUUUGAUUGCAAGAUAUACUUUUUACGAAUAAAAUGCAACUGCAAAUGUUGGCAUAAACUUAGUUGCAUUUCAAAACAUUUCAUUUUUCAUUUGUGAAAAUGUUGUAAAAGCUUCAUACUUUAAUCUACCUCAGUCAUUCAAUUGUAAAUAAGUUACUUAAUCGUUUAUUUUAUAUCAAGAUUGUAAAUAGUGUUAAAUGUUUGUUAUUGUUUUUGCUUAAUAUGAAAUAAAUAACGGAUU